GUGUGCCUGCCCCAGCUGCCCGGCUUCCCCCUGGAGCUUGGGGCCGGGGGAGAGCAGCAGAGCUGGGUGCUCUGCUCUGGCAUCGCAGGGACGGCCACAGCAGGUGUCCCUGCGGGCUGGCAAGAGCCCUUUGGUCAUGAGGACAGGGGCAGAGGGACCCCGCGUGUGUGCUGCAACUGUUAGUUGGCUCUUGCUGUAAUUGAUGGACACUGCCAGUUGCUUAGACAGAUGGGAAUUAAUACCGGUGUUCCCAUUAGAACUCACCAUCACAGUCACGCUGGCUUUGCACUGGCUUGAUGUGUGCAAGAGAGUGCGUGUGGAAGGAGCAAGUGUGAUUCCUGCCUGCAGUACUUGUCUUCCAGGGUGUUGGAGCCAUCCAUCCAACACAGAGCAGAUGAGCUGCUUGCCAGCAGCUUGCAGAACACAUAGCUUUGAGGUGGUGUAGAAAAUGCUUCUUUCCUGGAUGCUGAGAGAUCGUGGUGAAUGGGACUCUCAUCCCGGGAGGUGUUUGUGAGCUGUAUUUACAGUGCCUUGUGGCCCAGCUGUCUCCUCUGGUUCUCUGGCGACCUGACAGCCACGGUGGACCUGCCAGGUGACAACCAUGAGGCACAGCAGGAGGUGAAGGCUAAGCCUCAGAGAGCUCGUGCUUGAGGAAACUGCCAUCUCUAAAUCAUACCAACCUCCAUUCUCUUAAUUCCCCCAACUCCUCGUCCACCGUAGUAGGAAGCAUCCACCGUGGGCCACUUCUUGGAAGGCAAGGGCUCCUGUUCUUC